GCAUAUCAAUAAGCGGAGGAAAAGAAACUAACAAGGAUUCCCUUAGUAACGGCGAGUGAAGAGGGAAGAGCUCAAAUUUUAAAUCUGCUACGUUAUACGUGGCCGAAUUGUAAUUUGAAGAAGCGUUUUCUCGUUCCACGAUCAGUCGAAGUUCUCUUGGAACAGGACAUCAUAGAGGGUGAUAAUCCCGUCUGCUGCUGAUCGUGAGUUCGUCAUACGAUACGCUUUCAAAGAGUCGAGUUGUUUGGGAUUGCAGCUCCAAACGGGUGGUAAACAUCACCUAAGGCUAAAUAUUUGCGAGAGACCGAUAGCGAACAAGUACCGUGAGGGAAAGAUGAAAAGAACUUUGAAAAGAGAGUUAAAAAGUAUGUGAAAUUGUUGAAAGGGAAACGAUUGAAGUCAGUCGUGCAGUCAUCGAUUCAACGGUUUAAAUUUGGGCUUCUGCUCAUGUUUGUCCGUGCAUUUUGGUGUGUCUGCUGGUCAGCGUCAAUUUCGAUUGUCAUAAAAAGGUCAGAGGGAUGUGGCUCUUUCGAGAGUGUUAUAACCUUUGGCGGAAUGUGGCGAUCGGGAUUGAGGUUUGCACGAUUAUAGUUUCCUGGCCUCUCGUCGACGUCUGAAUUGUGGAAGCUUGCUGAAGCAGUUUAGACCGUUUGUGAAAAGGUUGGAGCGACUAGAUCGUUAAGGAUGCUGACGUAAUGGCUUUAAACGAC
rnacentral:rRNA from 1 species